CCUACGGGUGGCUGCAGUCGAGAAUCAUUCACAAUGGGGGAAACCCUGAUGGUGCGACGCCGCGUGGGGGAAUGAAGGUCUUCGGAUUGUAAACCCCUGUCAUGUGGGAGCAAAUUAAAAAGAUAGUACCACAAGAGGAAGAGACGGCUAACUCUGUGCCAGCAGCCGCGGUAAUACGGGGGGUGCAAGCGUUGUCCGGAAUCAUUGGGCGUAAAGAGUUCGUAGGCGGCACGUAAAGUCUGGUGUUAAAGGCAGAGGCUCAACUUCUGUACGGCACUGGAUACUUGCGAGCUAGAAUGCGGUAGAGGUAAAGGGAAUUCCUGGUGUAGCGGUGAAAUGCUUAGAUAUCAGGAGGAACAUCGGUGGCGUAAGCGCUUUACUGGGCCGUAAUUGACGCUGAGGAACGAAAGCCAGGGUAGCAAAUGGGAUUAGAUACCCGUGUAGUC
rnacentral:rRNA from 1 species